rfam:Crassostrea gigas strain 05x7-T-G4-1.051#20 contig23139, whole genome shotgun sequence.
CAAACGGCCGUUUUAACGGCCACCAAACUUUUAGAAAAGAUACACCG